rnacentral:rRNA from 1 species
UACGUAGGGGUGCAACGUUGCCGGUAAUUAUUGGGCGUAAAGAGCUCGUAGGCGGUUCGUCGCGUCGGCUGUGGAAAUCCCCGGAAGGCUCAACCUUCGGGUCUGCAGUCGAUACGGGCGGGACUGGAGUUCGGCAGGGGAGACUGGAAUUCCUGGUGGUAGCAGGUGAAAUGCGGCAGAUAUCGAGAGGAACACCGGUGGCGAAGGCGGCCACUGGACGAAGACUGACGUGGAGAACACGAAAGCCGUGGGGAGCAAACAGG